AACAUUUAGAGAAUGCCUAUAUAUUAAAACUUAAAAACGGACGUUUUAUUAACGAAAUUUUGUGACGAGUACGAUAAUGUGCUGAGAGUUACAAUUAUCCGAAUAGGAAACUAUAUAAUUAUUUUAAAGUUUUAGAAUUUAUGUAUCUAAAACUAAACUUUAGUGAAUUGAAUCAUCUAAGUAACUAAAUUAAAAAAUCAACCGAGAAAUUGUGAGUAGUGGCGAACGAAAACAGUAAAGACUAAAUUAAAAAUUUAUUAUUUAAUAAUAAUUAAAGCCAUAGAAGGAAAAUUUUAAAAAAUAGCCCUGUAUAGUAGUAAAUUUAAAAUUUAUAAACGAGUAAAAUGAAACAAGUCGUGUUUUGUUUGAAUAUCGGGGGACCACCCUCGAAGUCUUAAAAUGUUUUAAUAUUUGAUAGCGUAAUAAAAAGUACCGUGAGGGAAAGGUGAAAAGAACUUGAGAGUUUGAAAAGAAUCUAAAACUAAAUGUUGACAAUCUGUUGAAGCUUACAAAAAGUAACAACGUACCUUUUGCAUAAUGGAUCAACGAGUUUAUUUUAGUGGCGAGCUUAAGCUAAAUAAGUGUAGGCUAAAAGAUAUUAAGUUUUAAAAUGCUGUUUAGUCUCUAGAAUAAGACCCGAAACUAAGUGAUCUAACCAUGAACAGGUUGAAUUUAUAGCGGUAACGCUUUUUGGAGGACCGAACUCGUGUAUGUGGAAAAAUACUGAGAUGAUUUGUGGUUAGGGGUGAAAGGCCAAUCAAACUUAGAGAUAGCUGGUUUUCUGCGAAAUCUAUUUAAGUAGAGCGUUUAAAUACUUCAAAUUUAGGUAGAGCACUCAUUAAAUGAUGGGGACGUAAAGUUUUACUGAAUUUAGUGAAACUCCGAAUAAGAUUUGAAAGAAUUUAAGCAGACAGACUUAAGAUGCUAAGAUCUUUAGUCAAAAGGGAAACAGCCCAGAUUAUUAGUUAAGGUCCUUAAGAAUAGUUAAGUGAAAAAAAAAUAAAAACAUUACAACAACCGACAGGUAGGCUUGGAAGCAGCCAUCCUUUAAAGAAAGCGUAACAGCUCAUUGGUUUAGUUUU
rnacentral:rRNA from 1 species